rnacentral:tRNA from 1 species
GCUUUGGUGGUUCAGUAGUAGAAUUAUUGCCUUCCAUGUGGGAGACUCAGGUUUGAUUUCUGACUAACGCA